AACGAACGCUGGCGGCGCGCCUAAUACAUGCAAGUCGAGCGAGAAGGUGUAGCAAUACACUUGUAAAGCGGCGAACGGGUGAGGAAUACAUGGGUAAUCUACCAUCGAGUGGGGAAUAACCAACCGAAAGGUUGGCUAAUACCGCGUACGCCUCCGAGUCUUCGGGUUCGGAGGGAAAGCUGCACUGUGAGUGUAGCGCUCUUUGAUGAGCUCAUGUCCUAUCAGCUUGUUGGUAGGGUAACGGCCUACCAAGGCUUUGACGGGUAGCUGGUCUGAGAGGACGAUCAGCCACACUGGCACUGCGACACGGGCCAGACUCCUACGGGAGGCAGCAGUAAGGAAUAUUGCGCAAUGGGCGAAAGCCUGACGCAGCGACGCCGCGUGGGGGAUGAAGGUCUUCGGAUUGUAAACCCCUUUCGGGAGGGAAGAUGGAGCGAGCAAUCGUUCGGACGGUACCUCCAGAAGCAGCCACGGCCAACUUCGUGCCAGCAG
rnacentral:rRNA from 1 species